rnacentral:tRNA from 1 species
GUGUCUGUGGUGUAGCGGUUUCUGCACACUUGGCUGUGAACCAAGAGGUACCGGUUCGAGUCCGGUCAGAUACC